UACGAAGGGGGCUAGCGUUGUUCGGAAUUACUGGGCGUAAAGCGCACGUAGGCGGAUCUUUAAGUCAGGGGUGAAAUCCUGGAGCUCAACUCCAGAACUGCCCUUGAUACUGGGGAUCUUGAGUCCGGAAGAGGUGAGUGGAACUCCGAGUGUAGAGGUGAAAUUCGUAGAUAUUCGGAAGAACACCAGUGGCGAAGGCGGCUCACUGGUCCGGUACUGACGCUGAGGUGCGAAAGCGUGGGGAGCAAACAGG
rnacentral:rRNA from 1 species